rnacentral:rRNA from 1 species
UACGGAGGGGGCUAGCGAUGUUCGGAAUUACUGGGCGUAAAGCGCACGUAGGCGGCUUUGCAAGUCAGAGGUGAAAGCCCGGGGCUCAACCCCGGAAUUGCCUUUGAGACUGCAUCGCUAGAAUUGUGGAGAGGUAAGUGGAAUUCCGAGUGUAGAGGUGAAAUUCGUAGAUAUUCGGAAGAACACCAGUGGCGAAGGCGACUUACUGGACAAAUAUUGACGCUGAGGUGCGAAAGCGUGGGGAGCAAACAGG